AUGGGAUUCCUGAUGCAGCCAAUUAAAAGAUUCACGGUGCUUGAGGAGGUCAAUAAUAGCGAUGUCCCGAUGGCUCCGCUGCAUUACCUUGUCGGCGCCACUGCGUCGGGCGAGCUGCAGCACGCGCAAGCCCUAGAGCUGAGCAUGGACGGACAAAUUUGUGCGACCCAAGCUGUGGUGGUGGCAGAAAGGGAAAUUUCACCCCAAAAGGCUUGA
rnacentral:rRNA from 1 species